rnacentral:rRNA from 1 species
UACAGAGGUCUCAAGCGUUGUUCGGAUUCAUUGGGCGUAAAGGGUGUGUAGGUGGCGCCGUAAGUCGGGUGUGAAUUUCGGAGCUUAACUCCGAAACUGCAUUCGAUACUGCGGUGCUUGAGGACUGGAGAGGGUAACGGAAUUCACGGUGUAGCAGUGAAAUGCGUAGAUAUCGUGAGGAACACCAGAGGCGAAGGCGGUUACCUGGACAGUUACUGACGCUCAGGCACGAAAGCAUGGGGAGCAAAGG